rnacentral:rRNA from 1 species
GGAUUGACACAUCGGUCGUGCCUUAAGGGGUAUGCACUGGUGUAGUCAAUUUCUCACCUUCUGGAGAACCGCGAUGCCCUUAAUUGGGUGUCACGGGGAACCAGGACCUUUACUUUGAAAAAAUUAGAGUGUUUAAAGCAGGCAUUUUGCUUGAAUACAUUAGCAUGGAAUAAUAAAAUAGGACGGCAUGAUUCUAUUUUGUUGGUUUCUAGGAUCACCGUAAUGAUUAAUAGGGAUAGUUGGGGGCAUUAGUAUUCAAUUGUCAGAGGUGAAAUUCUUGGAUUUAUUGAAGACUAACUACUGCGAAAACAUUUGCCAAGGAUGUUUUCAUUAAUCAAGAACGAAAGUUAGGGGAUCGAAGACGAUCAGAUACCGUCGUAGUCUUAACCAUAAACUAUGCCGACUAGGAAUCAGACGAUGUUAAUUUUUUAAUGACUCGUUUGGCACCUUACGGGAAACCAAAGUGUUUGGGUUCCGGGGGGAGUAUGGUCGCAAGGCUGAAACUUAAAAGAAUUGACGGAAGGGCACCACCAGGGGUGGAGCCUGCGGCUUAAUUUGACUCAACACGGGAAAACUUACCAGGUCCAGACAUAGUAAGGAUUGACAGAUUGAGAGC